GGUACCGUAGCCAAGUGGUAAGGUCAGAAGCUGCAACCUUCUUAUUCGCUAGUUCGAUCCUAGUCGGUACCUCCA
rnacentral:tRNA from 1 species